rnacentral:lncRNA from 12 species
CCAGGCUUCUACUUGGGUCUCUCCUGCGGGACUCACUGUCCCGUGGGUCCCGAUCUUUUCACCGAUCUGACUUCCCACAAUGUCUGCUGGGAGGUCCAGGCAGGAGCGCCAAGCCUCCAGGAGAAAAUCCCUUCUACUCCUAGGAGAUGCCGUGGGAGAGAUGGACAGACUGGCGUCCUGGAAGGAGCUCCCAACUCGGGAGUCCAGGAGCUGCAGUGACAGACCCGUGGCUCCUGAGCUGACCCUGACCUGGCCCACAGGUCAACUGGGUGGCACCCAAGCAGGAGGAAAACUAUCCACACUGCCUGACCCCAGGAGGCCCACUAUCAGAGGCUACCGGUGGAGGCAGCACUCACCAGGAGAGUUGUGAAGACUGCUGGACUCUAGACUCCCCUCCACCCUGCCUCCACCCCUGCCCCUAGCCUCACCGCACCACCACACCCAUCGCUGGAAGUCCUGUUGGGUCCAGAUGCUGAGUUCCUGGGCAGUUUCCCUGCUCCACUCAACAGAGGCCAGGCAGUGCCUUCUGCUUCCUAAACAUACCACAGUAGCCUUGCUUUCCAGAAUUAGCAGUGAACAGAGCGUGAGAGUCAGAAGUUCUGAUUUCCAGACCUGAGUUCCUUCCAGCCAGGCUCCAGCCCUGAAGAGCCUGCAGAAUGAUACUAACCAGAAAUACUGAAAGGCCAAAAGGGCCCUUAAAAUGUAUUCCUCAUGUUACAGAUGAGGAAACUGUCCCAGUGUGGAAAAGUGAUUUGCUCAAGGACGCCUCACUGGUUAAGGCAGAUCUGAGACAGGUUUGCCAACUGCCAGGUGGUUGGUAUUGGUUCCAUUCCACCACAGGGCCUGGUCUCUAAGUUCCAAAAGUCACUGAUCAAGGUCUAGUGGAUCACCCAUGACCCAUCCAGCAUGUCCCAAAAGCCCAACAAGUCUGUCUAACAAACCCAGAGUGCACCCUCUUUCUCAGGGCUCUCAGAACACAGAG